rnacentral:tRNA from 2 species
GCGCCCAUAGCUCAAUUGGAUAGAGUAGCACACUACGAAUGUGAAGGUUCGGGGUUCGAGUCCCUGUGGGCGCACCA